rnacentral:rRNA from 1 species
AGCUUGUACAGGUGCUGCAUGGCUGUCGUCAGCUCGUGUCGUGAGAUGUUCGGGUUAAGUCCCGCAACGAGCCGCAACCCCUACGUUUAGUUGCUAACGCGUGAAGGCGAGCACUCUAGACGAACUGACCGUUGCCAAAACGGAGGAAGGUGGGAAUGACGUCAAAUCAUCAUGCCCCUUAUGUUCUGGGCUACACACGUGCUACAAUGGCCGGUACAGACGGACGCAAAGCCACGAGGUGGAGCAAAUCCUAAAAAGCCGGUCUCAGUUCGGAUUGCAGGCUGCAAUUCGCCUGCAUGAAGUCGGAAUCGCUAGUAAUCGCAGGUCAGCAUACUGCGGUGAAUACGUUCUCGGGGUUU